UUGUUUUACAUUCCAAGAAGCUCAUGAUUCAUGUUUCAUUUCUGUCAGACUUUUAAUACAGUCGUUUUUGUCUUACAAAUGAAGUAGGUUGGGUGCCUUAAAGUUUCAUGACAAGUAAAACCCAAAAAUAUUUUUGUGUACUAAUGAAAAUACAUUGUAGACAUCAGUUGUAUUAGCAGUAAAAACGUACUCUGCAAAAGUAAUUCUGAAUAAAGUACGCCUAAAGUAUUUCUUCAUAUAUUUCGUUUUUUAUUUUCCAAAUCAACCAUUGGUUUCUUAAUCUCACCUCAUCAGAUUUGAUCAAACCUCUGUCCAAAGGACAUGUCGGGGUGGUGGCUGGGGAUUUUUCCCUGCACAAAAGAGAGCAUCGCAUUUCAAUAUGAUUGCUGACAUACGCUACCUACAGUAUCAACUAACAGCCCUUUAGCUCAAUGGGCUAAAAGAGUCAAUUCAGAAUUGUACAACUUGAUUAACUCACAAAGCCUCUUGAACAAUUCGAAUCGGAGCCCUUGGAUGCAGCGGUAGCAGAAGAUGUGUCCGCAGCCGGUUUGGUGUGGGUUGAGAACUACUCCUUUACAGGUGGGACAAACAUAGUGCUCUUCUAGGUUCUUCACAAACUUCAAACUGUGCUGCACCGCAGUCAAGUCCGAUUCCCAUUGUCCCCCCACUCCCGAAUUCUGCCUGGAGAUUCCUCCGGAUCCACUCGGGUCACUCUCCUUUGUUGCCAUGGCAACCUGUAGACUGACAGGUGUGUGGUAGAUGUUGGACAGUUUGCAGACCUGUGCAAAUGUACAUCUACAAAGAGUCUGUUAACAUUAAAAGGUCCUAUUCCAGGAGUCCUGCAAUUGACUGCAUACCUGCAUGACUUUGACAUUCAGAAAAACCCAUUCAAAGCACUCCAUAAUGAGAUAUAUGCCAAACAUUUGUACAUUAAAGUGUUUAGUAAAUAGGGGGAGGGGUUUAUAAGUAAAGUCCCCACAUUUUAAAACAAACCUAUCUUUUUAAGGAGUUUAUUCACAUGGACUUAUAACCAGGGCCGUAGCUACAUAUGAUAACACAGAGGUCAUUCUUUUGAAUACAAAUACAUUGUCACUGACUGGCAGUCACUAAAUUAGAACAUGACAGUUAAACAUAGAUUGGUAAAUUACGCAAAGCAUGUGCCCAGGGGUCCUGACCUCCAAGGGGCCCUCAUUAAUUCUGGUAGUCACUCUAACUCAUCAUAUAAGCAGGGCAUAAGUCAUGCCAAAAUGUGUAGACUUGCAGGAAAUUGGCUGUAAAACUGCAGCAAAUCUGUAAAGCAAACUUAUAUGUUGACCUUUUGUUAAUAAAAUAAUUUUUCUGCCAACAGA